rnacentral:rRNA from 1 species
UACGAAGGGGGCUAGCGUUGCUCGGAAUCACUGGGCGUAAAGCGCACGUAGGCGGCUUUUUAAGUCAGAGGUGAAAUCCUGGAGCUCAACUCCAGAACUGCCUUUGAUACUGGGGAGCUUGAGUCCGGGAGAGGUGAGUGGAACUGCGAGUGUAGAGGUGAAAUUCGUAGAUAUUCGCAAGAACACCAGUGGCGAAGGCGGCUCACUGGCCCGGUACUGACGCUGAGGUGCGAAAGCGUGGGGAGCGAACAGG